rnacentral:rRNA from 1 species
CGUGAGGGAAAGGCGAAAAGAACCCCGGCGAGGGGAGUGAAAAAGAACCUGAAACCGUGUACGUACAAGCAGUGGGAGCACGCUUAGGCGUGUGACUGCGUACCUUUUGUAUAAUGGGUCAGCGACUUAUAUUCUGUAGCAAGGUUAACCGAAUAGGGGAGCCGAAGGGAAACCGAGUCUUAACUGGGCGUUAAGUUGCAGGGUAUAGACCCGAAACCCGGUGAUCUAGCCAUGGGCAGGUUGAAGGUUGGGUAACACUAACUGGAGGACCGAACCGACUAAUGUUGAAAAAUUAGCGGAUGACUUGUGGCUGGGGGUGAAAGGCCAAUCAAACCGGGAGAUAGCUGGUUCUCCCCGAAAGCUAUUUAGGUAGCGCCUCGUGAAUUCAUCUCCGGGGGUAGAGCACUGUUUCGGCAAGGGGGUCAUCCCGACUUACCAACCCGAUGCAAACUGCGAAUACCGGAGAAUGUUAUCACGGGAGACACACGGCGGGUGCUAACGUCCGUCGUGAAGAGGGAAACAACCCAGACCGCCAGCUAAGGUCCCAAAGUCAUGGUUAAGUGGGAAACGAUGUGGGAAGGCCCAGACAGCCAGGAUGUUGGCUUAGAAGCAGCCAUCAUUUAAAGAAAGCGUAAUAGCUCACUGGUCGAGUCGGCCUGCGCGGAAGAUGUAACGGGGCUAAACCAUGCACCGAAGCUGCGGCAGCGACGCUUAUGCGUUGUUGGGUAGGGGAGCGUUCUGUAAGCCUGCGAAGGUGUGCUGUGAGGCAUGCUGGAGGUAUCAGAAGUGCGAAUGCUGACAUAAGUAACGAUAAAGCGGGUGAAAAGCCCGCUCGCCGGAAGACCAAGGGUUCCUGUCCAACGUUAAUCGGGGCAGGGUGAGUCGACCCCUAAGGCGAGGCCGAAAGGCGUAGUCGAUGGGAAACAGGUUAAUAUUCCUGUACUUGGUGUUACUGCGAAGGGGGGACGGAGAAGGCUAUGUUGGCCGGGCGACGGUUGUCCCGGUUUAAGCGUGUAGGCUGGUUUUCCAGGCAAAUCCGGAAAAUCAAGGCUGAGGCGUGAUGACGAGGCACUACGGUGCUGAAGCAACAAAUGCCCUGCUUCCAGGAAAAGCCUCUAAGCAUCAGGUAACAUCAAAUCGUACCCCAAACCGACACAGGUGGUCAGGUAGAGAAUACCAAGGCGCUUGAGAGAACUCGGGUGAAGGAACUAGGCAAAAUGGUGCCGUAACUUCGGGAGAAGGCACGCUGAUAUGUAGGUGAAGUCCCUCGCGGAUGGAGCUGAAAUCAGUCGAAGAUACCAGCUGGCUGCAACUGUUUAUUAAAAACACAGCACUGUGCAAACACGAAAGUGGACGUAUACGGUGUGACGCCUGCCCGGUGCCGGAAGGUUAAUUGAUGGGGUCAGCGCAAGCGAAGCUCUUGAUCGAAGCCCCGGUAAACGGCGGCCGUAACUAUAACGGUCCUAAGGUAGCGAAAUUCCUUGUCGGGUAAGUUCCGACCUGCACGAAUGGCGUAAUGAUGGCCAGGCUGUCUCCACCCGAGACUCAGUGAAAUUGAACUCGCUGUGAAGAUGCAGUGUACCCGCGGCAAGACGGAAAGACCCCGUGAACCUUUACUAUAGCUUGACACUGAACAUUGAGCCUUGAUGUGUAGGAUAGGUGGGAGGCUUGGAAGUGUGGACGCCAGUCUGCAUGGAGCCGACCUUGAAAUACCACCCUUUAAUGUUUGAUGUUCUAACGUUGACCCGUAAUCCGGGUUGCGGACAGUGUCUGGUGGGUAGUUUGACUGGGGCGGUCUCCUCCUAAAGAGUAACGGAGGAGCACGAAGGUUGGCUAAUCCUGGUCGGACAUCAGGAGGUUAGUGCAAUGGCAUAAGCCAGCUUGACUGCGAGCGUGACGGCGCGAGCAGGUGCGAAAGCAGGUCAUAGUGAUCCGGUGGUUCUGAAUGGAAGGGCCAUCGCUCAACGGAUAAAAGGUACUCCGGGGAUAACAGGCUGAUACCGCCCAAGAGUUCAUAUCGACGGCGGUGUUUGGCACCUCGAUGUCGGCUCAUCACAUCCUGGGGCUGAAGUAGGUCCCAAGGGUAUGGCUGUUCGCCAUUUAAAGUGGUACGCGAGCUGGGUUUAGAACGUCGUGAGACAGUUCGGUCCCUAUCUGCCGUGGGCGCUGGAGAACUGAGGGGGGCUGCUCCUAGUACGAGAGGACCGGAGUGGACGCAUCACUGGUGUUCGGGUUGUCAUGCCAAUGGCACUGCCCGGUAGCUAAAUGCGGAAGAGAUAAGUGCUGAAAGCAUCUAAGCACGAAACUUGCCCCGAGAUGAGUUCUCCCUGACUCCUUGAGAGUCCUGAAGGAACGUUGAAGACGACGACGUUGAUAGGCCGGGUGUGUAAGCGCAGCGAUGCGUUGAGCUAACCGGUACUAAUGAACCGUGAGGCUUAACCUUACAACGCCGAAGGUGUUU